CGCCCACGAGCCGAAGGACCGAAGGGCCGAAGAGCCGAAGAGGACACCCUCGCGCGGUGAUUGGUCGGCUGGCCGCUCGGAGGAAAUCCGUCUCUGAUUGGCAGGAGAGUCACGAACCGUUCCAUUGGAUACUGCUGUUCUAGAGAGUAAGAAAAUCUCUGAAGAGCAAAACUUUCAUUUAGCAAUUGUGAAAGAAGGCAGCCAUCUUGCGCUUCUCAGGUCAGAAGUCCAAUGUUGAUCUCGCCAGCCUAAGAUCAAGUUAUCAGCAGGGCUGUGUUCUUUUCUGGAGACUCUAGCAAGCUGCAGUGUGGCAAAUUGCCGUAGAGAGAGGUACAUGUCAAAAAACUGAGGAUGGAGUCUGGCUAACAUCCAGAAGGGAACAGAGGCCCAUAAACCAACAGCUAACAGCUUGUGAGGAACUGAAUCCUGCCACAACCAGAGCGUGAAUUCUGAAG